UACGUAGGGUCCGAGCGUUGUCCGGAAUUACUGGGCGUAAAGAGCUCGUAGGCGGUGUGUCGCGUCGGCCGUGAAAACCUGCAGCUUAACUGUGGGCUUGCGGUCGAUACGGGCAUCACUGGAGUUCGGCAGGGGAGACUGGAAUUCCUGGUGUAGCGGUGGAAUGCGCAGAUAUCAGGAGGAACACCGAGUGGCGAAGGCAGCUCGCUGGGACGGUACUGACG
rnacentral:rRNA from 1 species